GAGCUUAUCGUCUAAGGGCAAAGAUAUAUCACUCAUAAUGAUAAAGAUGUAGGUUCGAAUCCUGCUAAGCUCA
rnacentral:tRNA from 1 species